rnacentral:lncRNA from 1 species
CGAGGCAUCACCGGACUCUGAUGUGUAUGCUGGCCUUCGUAUGUUGUCACAACUAUGCUUGGAUCAUUGAAAGAACGCUCCACUCUUUUCUUCACAUUACAUGAGGUACUAGUGCACCUAUAGUAACUCCUACAAAUUUAAAAACCAAUUUUCAGCAUUCAGAAAUACUAAAUCUAGCUUUGUUAUUCAUUUUCUAAUCAAAUGAAUUUGUAACUCCAGAAACCUGAAAAUCAACUAUUUUCAAUCAGCGUUUCAACCUCAUUCGCAAUUUCGGACAGUAUUUUUGAAAAUAAAUUUGAAAACAUUGAUAUGUUUACAAAAUUUAACUUUUUUUUAAAAAAAUGGCAGAAAGGAAGGUACCUAGGAAAAGGGCUGUUUUUGACAGCUUUUUGGCCGUACUUUCUCCAUCUGUAGCCAUCUUCCAGAUGAUCAACCUCACUCUUUGUCAUGAAUGCAAAUCUUGGCUCUGUCUGUUUCUUUUUCUUCUGACUCCCACUCUUCUUGCCUUUCAACCUAAACUCCCCCGAAACAAAACCAAAUCAACACUCAACAAGUCUUCACUUUUCCACAAAUGCCUUUUACUUUUUUACUUUUUAGUUUUUAGAAAAACCAAUACAAGAGUAGUAAAUGAAAACUUACUGUGGUUUAGUGACUUUGUGCUGCUGCUGUUGUUCUUGUUCAUCAGCCACAACUUUAGUCUUUUCUUCACCACUUGAAACAGAAGAGAGUGAAGAGGAGUUGGGAGUUGGGGGAUUGUUCAAAACCUCUGAUGAUUCUUGAUAAGGAUUGAGUUGAGUUUGAUUCU